AAAUACUACCGGAACGCUGGAACUUUACCGAAUGGAGGGGAACGGGUUUUGAUGGCACAGGAAAAAAAUAAUUAGGAGAUCAUUACCUAAACACAUCUCAUGAUCCAUGAUAAUUUUGAAUUUGGUCAACUUUAAUAAAUAGCGAAAACUCUAUGUACUAUAUAUGCAUGGACUUUAAGACUCAAAACCAUAUGGGCCCGGACUUGACGUCGACUCGGAACCCUAUGGAUAGAGAAUGGUAGUCAUUUGGGCUCAGAGUUAAUUCAAUCGUGAUUAAAAUUUAUGAAGAAAACCAAACUUCUUAACAA
rnacentral:lncRNA from 1 species